rnacentral:lncRNA from 1 species
AUGAACCAGUGGUUCAAACCCAGUUUUUUUUUUAUUAAUUUUAUUCUUUACAAUAAGAGCUUUGAGUCUACUUCAACCCUGAAAGUCUUUUCUUCCUGUGAGAUGUUCCUACAGAAUGUUGAACUCCAUAGACACCUGCUACAGGUGAGUGGAGGCUGCAGGGCGAGCCCCGACUGCGUCAUCCAGCCUCCUCUGCUGCUGCUAUGCGGGUGUGGUUCUGGUACCAGCCUGCAGCUGGGCUACAGCAGCUCAGAGAGACUCUCAGGGCUGAUCAAGGUGGAGGAGGACUGCAGAGACAUGAACCAUCCAUGGUGUUGAAGAUCCUGGAGCAGGAGCCUGAUGCACGAGUUCCAGCCUCUCUCCCCGCUGAGCAUCCACAUGUAAGGAAUGUGGAAGAGGACAUCUGCAUGGAGAGAGAUGCUGCCAUCCCGUUUGAAGAUGCUUCUGUCAGUGAUGAAAGAGAGCAGACGUCUCACAUCUGGGAGUUGCUGACUUUGUCAUUGUGAGAUGUGCAUCCUGAAAGCACUGCAGACAGCAGAGCAUUAGAUUUCUUAGAAGAAUUUGUGUCAGUGAGAAACCCACAGUUGCAUUCAAAGAACACGAUGAAGCUGUUUUCUACACACAGAUGUUCUGGAGAAGCUCCUCAGCCUCAACAGGAAGUGCAAGGACGGAGCAACAGUUCUAUUCCUCUGUGACACUUGAAAUAGUUAUUGUGACUAAAUGGUUCAAUUGUUUUUGUUGACUUAAAUGGUUUUGAUGUUUUGUGGAAAAUAAAUGUUGAUUUGUUCUUAGAAACCUGAACUUCUUGUAAACGUUUGUUUGUUUGAGUAUGCUCAUGUUUACAUUUUCAAAGUCAUGGUUAAACUUCAGUCGAGCGUUAGAAGCUUUUUUAUAUGAAUCUUAUCAUUUGGAGCUGCUCAGAGAUGCAUUCUGAUCAAUUCAUCCUGAAAUACAGAUGUAUGUUAUGAUUCUGUUUCUGUCCUCCAGGACAAGAACAGUAAAACGAGGCUCAACUUACCUCAUUCUACCCUAAUUAAUGUUUUCACAUUAGUCCUGAUUGUACUUUCUCUGGAAAAGAAGAUGCUAGAAUCUCUCACCCACUUAAACUGUUUUUAAGAACUAGUAAAAGAGGAAAAGAUCAAGCAGAUUUAGUUUGAUGACUCUGCAAAUAAACAAGCCAGAAAACAGAUAUUUUGAGUGUAAACAUUGUGACUGUCAUUGUAAAUCAUGUGUUGUU